GGGUGUGUAGCUCAGCUGGUUAGAGCGCACCUCUGAUAAGGGUGAGGUCGAUGGUUCGAGUCCAUCCACGCCCACCA
rnacentral:tRNA from 1 species